UUCGAUUAUUAGAUACCCGGGUAGUCCCAGCCGUAAACAAUGUGCGUUAGGUGUGUCGGUAACCACGUGUUACUGAUGCGCCGAAGAGAAAUCGUGAAACGCACCACCUGGGAAGUACGGUCGCAAGGCUGAAACUUAAAGGAAUUGGCGGGGGAGCACCACAACAGGUGGAGCCUGCGGUUUAAUUGGAUUCAACGCCGGACAUCUCACCGGAUAAGACAGCUGAAUGAUUGUCAAUCUGAAGGUUUUACAUGACUAGCUGAGAGGAGGUGCAUGGCA
rnacentral:rRNA from 1 species